GGGGAUGCUGGGUUUCGACAGGAUUGGCGGGUUAGAGGUUGCAAGCCGGGGUGCCAGUACAUCGUCCCGUUAAACAACUGGCAAACGUCGGAAACGACAACGAAGCGUUAGCGCUCGCGGCUUAAUUAAUUAGCCGUGCGUCUGCCCUGACCCUUCCCUGACGGGUUGGGAGCAGGCGUCAAAAAGUCAGGGUGCCGCGGCCAGGACGCUCCUAGCGGUCGCGAAAGAUCAGGGGCUGGAGGAGCCGAAUUCGGCCGGCCGAACUACGCUCCUCGAGACAAAGAAGAGCCGGCUAAGCUUGUAGAUACCGCUAGUCCACCUUUUUUGGACGGGGCGUUCGACUCGCCCCCAUCUCCACUA
rnacentral:tmRNA from 1 species